rnacentral:rRNA from 1 species
UACGAAGGGGGCGAGCGUUGUUCGGAUUUACUGGGCGUAAAGCGCACGUAGGCGGAUCGUUAAGUCGGGGGUGAAAUCCUGGAGCUCAACUCCAGAACUGCCCUCGAUACUGGCGAUCUUCGAGUCCGGGAGAGGUGAGUGGAACUCCGAGUGUAGAGGUGAAAUUCGUAGAUAUUCGGAAGAACACCAGUGGCGAAGGCGGCUCACUGGCCCGGUACUGACGCUGAGGUGCGAAAGCGUGGGGAGCGAACAGG